rnacentral:rRNA from 1 species
CCUACGGGUGGCAGCAGUGAGGAAUAUUGGUCAAUGGACGAGAGUCUGAACCAGCCAAGUAGCGUGAAGGAUGACUGCCCUAUGGGUUGUAAACUUCUUUUAUAAAGGAAUAAAACGCGGCACGUGUGCCUUUUUGCAUGUACUUUAUGAAUAAGGAUCGGCUAACUCCGUGCCAGCAGCCGCGGUAAUACGGAGGAUCCGAGCGUUAUCCGGAUUUAUUGGGUUUAAAGGGAGCGUAGAUGGGUUGUUAAGUCAGUUGUUAAAGUUUGCGGCUCAACCGUAAAAUUGCAAUUGAUACUGGCAGUCUUGAGUACAGUUGAGGUAGGCGGAAUUCGUGGUGUAGCGGUGGAAUGCUUAGAUAUCACGAAGAACCCCGAUUGCGAAGGCAGCUUACUAAACUGUGACUGACAUUGAUGCUCGAAAGUGUGGGUAUCAAACAGGAUUAGAUACCCUUGUAGUC